AGUAACUGGUGUGGAAGAAAUUGGAAAGAAGAACGACGCCGAGGCCAUGCUCUCGUGCGCUGCCGCACGAGGCUCAGACGGCAUAUGUAAAACUUGCUCGUGCUUUAGAACACGGCGCUGCACCGGUCAACGCACCCAACGUCAUCGGAGUUAACCGUCUCCUUCUCGGCUGCGGAUCCACAUUACCACUAUAGCAUCACUGUCCUACAAGGCGCCUUCGUCGAUGUUACUCGUCCCACGUUCAGAAGCGGCCAAAGGCGACGACCCUUCCAUGCCCAGCAGCUUGGCCAUGGAGGACGCUCUUCCAGCGUACCCAGACCGUGCGGACAAGGACGAGGAACCUGCCUGCGACAUCUGCGCAAUACAUCGGUGGAGCACCGAGUGCGACCUGCUCACUCAUAUGGAUGUCAAGGGCACCCUGUAUCACCGCAGCACCGAGCAAGCAAGACGCACCGUGCAUGGAGUCCGGCACCACGCAGUAGUCGUAUCCAGGGACGCCGGACGGCUCCUGAUGUACAGGUUGUUUCCACCCAGUGAAGCUGGCAGUGCAGUGGUGCACGCCCGGAACGCGGCAGAACGACGACAGGAUGCGCCCGACGGUUCCUACAGCGUCGCAUCUACGGCGGGCGUCUUCUAGGAAGCGCCCUGUCUCGGCUGUUGCUGCAGAACAACAGCAGGGAGCCGCACAGUCACGACGGCUGUGGUUAUUCAUGGACCAAGCGAAGCAUUGAGUAGAGGCCGCAAAGGGUUUAACGACGCCCUUUCGCUGCCUCAUUGACAAUGAAGCAGCGAAGCGGCGGCCCCGCUGGCGGCAAGCCCGAGCUUUUUUGUUUUUAAAUUUUUACGAUUUUUUUAAAAGCAAUUGUGUGAAUGUAAUAUGGUUGCAGGCAUUUGAAAUACACUUUAUCAUUAUUGAA